rnacentral:sRNA from 1 species
UACUUGCGCAAAGGAUGGUAGCGGCAUCCUUUUAUGAAGCGCAGCGGAGUAAAAGAUACAGCGGACAGCCUGACCUUUU